GACAGAGGUGCCGAGCGUUAGGCGGAAUCACUGGGCUUAAAGGGCGCGUAGGCGGCUUUGCAAGUGGCGGGUGAAAUCCCUCGGCUUAACCGAGGAACUGCCUGCCAGACUGUGAGGCUUGAGACCGGGAGAGGUGAGUGGAAUUCCCAGUGUAGCGGUGAAAUGCGUAGAUAUUGGGAGGAACACCAGUGGCGAAGGCGGCUCACUGGACCGGAACUGACGCUGAGGCGCGAAAGCGUGGGGAGCAAACAGG
rnacentral:rRNA from 1 species